UGGCUCAUACAGCGAUUACCAACAGCCCCAUUGAAUAAAAAAAAUCCCUCAAACAGCACACUGGAAAAUGUAUGAUCUUUAAAGACUUCAGGAUUCAGAAAACUGAGCACAGAAAUUUCCAGUUGUUGGGAAGCAAAAGAUGAUGAAGAUGGAGCAGCCAAAUGAGGAGUGUACGUAAAUAGCUUCAUCAAGGAAAGGAUGGUCUGGUUAUAUCUGGCGAGUUUUGGCUGCUCUUCACCACCAAAUCAUAAUUGAUGGAAGCCAACUGUGAUAAAUUCUGCAAAGCAAAACAAUGAAGUUGCUGCAUCGUAUUUUGAUCUUUCUUUCAAGCCAGCACCAAAGUGACAUUAUUCAUACAAAUACGGUUGCUAAAUGAACUACUGCUGGUAUCUGUCAAAUCAUGAUCAUCAAAGUCACUAGCACCAUUAAAAUCCUCGU